UACGUAGGUGGCGAGCGUUGUCCGGAUUUACUGGGCGUAAAGAGCGCGCAGGCGGUCGUACAAGUCGCGUGUGAAAGCCCCUGGCUCAACUGGGGAGGGUCACGCGAUACUGUUCGACUUGAAGGCAGGAGAGGGAAGUGGAAUUCCCGGUGUAGUGGUGAAAUGCGUAGAGAUCAGGAAGAACAUCGGUGGCGAAGGCGCUCUGCUGGACCAUAACUGACACUCAGGGACGAAAGCUAGGGGAGCGAAUGGG
rnacentral:rRNA from 1 species